rnacentral:rRNA from 1 species
GACGAACGCUGGCGGUGUGCUUCAUACAUGCAAGUCGAACGAUAAGGCCCUUCGGGGUACAUAAGUGGCGGACGGGUGAGUAACGCGUAGGGAAUCUGCCUUAAGGAAGGGGACAACGUUGGGAAACUGACGCUAAUACCCUAUAUGUGUGCGAUUGAGAUAUUGUACAUGAAAGUUCCGGCGCCUUAAGAUGAGCCUGCGUCUGAUUGGCUAGUUGGUGAGGUAGUGGCUCACCAAGGCGACGAUCAGUAGCUGGUCUGAGAGGAUGACCAGCCACAUUGGGACUGAGACACGGCCCAAACUCCUACGGGAGGCAGCAGUGGGGAAUCUUGCGCAAUGGGCGAAAGCCUGACGCAGCCAUGCCGCGUGGAUGAUGAAGGUCUUAGGAUUGUAAAAUCCUUUCACCGGUGAAGAUAAUGACUGUAGCCGGAGAAGAAGCCCCGGCUAACUUCGUGCCAGCCGCCGCCGUAACAC